ensembl:snRNA U6 U6 spliceosomal RNA
CUGCUUCAGCAGCACAUACGCUAAAAUUGGAGUGAUACAGAGAAGAUGAGCAUGGCCCCUGCGCAAGGAUGACAUGCAAAUUAGUGAGGUGUUCUGUAUUCUU